UACGAAGGGGGCUAGCGUUGCUCGGAAUCACUGGGCGUAAAGGGCGCGUAGGCGGAUCUUUAAGUCGGGGGUGAAAGCCCUGGGCUCAACCCUGGAAUUGCCUUCGAUACUGAAGAUCUCGAGACCGGAAGAGGUAAGUGGAACUGCGAGUGUAGAGGUGAAAUUCGUAGAUAUUCGCAAGAACACCAGUGGCGAAGGCGGCUUACUGGUCCGGUUCUGACGCUGAGGCGCGAAAGCGUGGGGAGCAAACAGG
rnacentral:rRNA from 1 species